GUAUCUUAUAUGACUGGGAGUGUAUAACUGAUUGGCAAGAUAAUGAGGAAAUAAAGAUAGGAAGCAAAGGUCCUCUUAUCUUCAGUUCAGCUCUGUGGCAUGGAAACUGCUUGGUUGUCAAGACUCAAUCACUACCAACUGAAAUCAUGCCCUGUCAGUGUCUGCUAGUGAAGGGGGUUGCAUCGGCCAGGGUUGUGUAGCAGAGAGGCGACGACAGGGCAAAUUCCAGCCGUUCAGACGCCUGUUUGGGAAGAGGAAGAAGAAGGCAGCAGAGCAGGACUUCAAUACAGCAGAGCUGAAGGCUAUAGCUUCUCCACAGGGGAAGUGUCUAACGGAGUCAUCUCAGAUGAUGAGGAGACCAAUCAACAUCUGAGGGAGCUGAACCCCAUUGGGUCUCAAGCCCUCUCCCACGACAGUGUGUUUAUCCCAGAAGAAGCAUUACAGG
rnacentral:lncRNA from 1 species